GAAAAGAAACCAACAGGGAUUGCCCUAGUAACGGCGAGUGAAGCGGCAACAGCUCAAAUUUGAAAUCUGGCUCUUUUAGAGUCCGAGUUGUAAUUUGCAGAGGGCGCUUUGGCUUUGGCAGCGGUCCAAGUUCCUUGGAACAGGACGUCACAGAGGGUGAGAAUCCCGUACGUGGUCGCUGGCUAUUGCCGUGUAAAGCCCCUUCGACGAGUCGAGUUGUUUGGGAAUGCAGCUCUAAAUGGGAGGUACAUUUCUUCUAAAGCUAAAUAUUGGCCAGAGACCGAUAGCGCACAAGUAGAGUGAUCGAAAGAUGAAAAGCACUUUGGAAAGAGAGUCAAACAGCACGUGAAAUUGUUGAAAGGGAAGCGCUUGCAGCCAGACUUGCUUGCAGUUGCUCAUCCGGGCUUUUGCCCGGUGCACUCUUCUGCAGGCAGGCCAGCAUCAGUUUGGGCGGUAGGAUAAAGGUCUCUGUCACGUACCUCUCUUCGGGGAGGCCUUAUAGGGGAGACGACAUACUACCAGCCUGGACUGAGGUCCGCGCAUCUGCUAGGAUGCUGGCGUAAUGGCUGUAAGCGGCCCGUCUUGAAACACGGACCAAGGAGUCUAACAUCUAUGCGAGUGUUUGGGUGUCAAGCCCGAGCGCGUAAUGAAAGUGAACGGAGGUAGGAACCCGCAAGGGUGCACUAUCGACCGAUCCUGAUGUCUUCGGAAGGAUUUGAGUAAGAGCAUGGCUGUUGGGACCCGAAAGAUGGUGAACUAUGCUUGAAUAGGGUGAAGCCAGAGGAAACUCUGGUGGAGGCUCGCAGCGGUUCUGACGUGCAAAUCGAUCGUCAAAUUUGGGCAUAGGG
rnacentral:rRNA from 1 species